GUUCUCUUUGGACUCCCGUAACAAACACCAGUGAACACGCAGGUCUUUUCUCCCUGAAGCUGCUGACGGAUGUCCCACCCUGGGUAGUGAAUGCAAGGGACCAUGUGUGCAGUGCUUACAGAGUCUGUUAAUGGGUGACCUACUCCCUGGCAGUCCACCCACCAGGCAAUGCACUGAAUGGGCCUGUGAGACUGAAUGGGGCUCUACGUAACGGCAGCCAAUUUUCCUGGUCAACAGGGAGGCGCGGUGCCAAGGCUGUGUGUGAGAGCCUGCUGCUGGGAGGGUUUACCCCUUCUCCUCUGUUUCUGAGCCCUGGGGAGUGGCAUGGACUGUUCUCUGCUCAUCCUGCAGAGACCUGGGAUGCUCUGGGCUACUCAUUUGCUCCCUGUGACCAGCACUACACUUACACAUGUUCAAAGUAGGUAAGAGUUCGGAUUCUCCCUCUCUCAGGAGGUUCCUGACUCCGCAGUGGAUCUUCAGAGGUAGGAGCACUGCAGAAGUCCUGAGUAUCCUGGAGCUCCCAUAUAGCACAGGAAAAACCUAUUAUGGGAAAGCUGCUAAUAGCAGAGGAAUGAACCCAGUUGCACAGAUGCUGCUCCAUUAUGCUUCUACAACUGGAGUGGGGCCAGAACACAACCCCAGCUCAACUUCCCUCUUCUUCCCCAAAAAGAGCCAUAUGAGGACACUGAAGCUCAGUCCAGAUCUAACUUUCACAGCCAACCCCUUUCUAUGUGCCACAGUGGACACUCCCUGGGGUCUGAGCAGGCUGACAGUUUGGUUGCAUGGAAAGAGAGUGGCAUUAAAAUGGUGCUCUCAGACCCAGGAGAUGAGGCCAUUGUUUUACCUGAACACAUGCCAUGGGGGCACACCAUGGGCUGGAUGAGGGAUGCUGCUCUCCCAGAACCUCUUGCAACACAUUGUCUUGGAGAUGUUUCAUAAGGCAGGGACGAAUUCCCCCCCUUUGGACACGUGUCGCCUCCCACAGUGAACUAAACAUUCACAUGUCAUAUCCUGUUCGAGGAGUUGUUUUAAUGGAUGCGCUGCCAACAAAGACACUUGGGUUUCGAUGGCUGAUCCUUUGCAAUUGUAACGGCAUUUAAUGAAAGGUUUUGUCUUUGGAAGGACAAAAUAUCCUUUAUCCAGCUUCAACUUUUGAAAGAAACACCACAAAUAUUUUUGGAUUGGAUGUGAAAUGUUGUGUAAAUUCUGUAAUACCAAGGGAGAAAAUAUGUCCUUUCCUUAUUAACAAACUGUAUAUCAAAGCAAGAGUGCUUAAAGCCUAAAUGGUUUUAUACACAAUGAAUUCAUCAGAGUUUUACAUCCCCAGUAAGGGGAGUAUUUAAAUACAGACAAAAUGUGCAAAAAUAAUUUAUAUAUGAAACUAAAGAUAUAUUUGCGUGUUUGGUUGGUUUCUUUUUUAAAUUAGAUUUGGCUUUUCUUUUCAAUUCCUCUUCUCUGAAGUUGCUUGCACUUUGAGGCUGUGCAUCCUGAGCCCCAGAGGGCUCUGGCAGGAACAAGCAGGAACACAGGAGCCUUGAAUGACUCUUCAUAAAGGCAGAGAUUCAGAGCUGUCCUUCAAAAUUAUUUCAGUUCACGGUGCAGCUGCUGCAGCAUAUAUUGGAGGCUGAGAAGGCCGCAGCUUACUGGUGUAGUCAGAGGAAGUGGCGAAAACCUCCAUCAGUGUUCAGGAUGCAGCAUUUGGUGGUUUGCAGGUUUGGGUGGCUUGGAAAAAGAAAGUUUUGUUGCCUGUUGCUGGAUCCAAGGGCAAAGCAGCUAGAUGUUGCUGAUUACCUCCUGGGAGAAGUACCAGGUGACUGACGACUUCUAAAUUGCUUUUUCAUUGUGCUGUGUGAACUGCACAUGGGGACUGGGCUGCACUGGAGGCUGUUGCAUCACAGAUCAUGCUUUCAGCAGAGCUUUU